GACGAACGCUGGCGGCGUGCUUAACACAUGCAAGUCGAACGGAAAGGCCCUGCUUUUGUGGGGUGCUCGAGUGGCGAACGGGUGAGUAACACGUGAGUAACCUGCCCUUGACUUUGGGAUAACUUCAGGAAACUGGGGCUAAUACCGGAUAGGAGCUCCUGCUGCAUGGUGGGGGUUGGAAAGUUUCGGCGGUUGGGGAUGGACUCGCGGCUUAUCAGCUUGUUGGUGGGGUAGUGGCUUACCAAGGCUUUGACGGGUAGCCGGCCUGAGAGGGUGACCGGCCACAUUGGGACUGAGGUACGGCCCAGACUCCUACGGGAGGCAGCAGUGGGGAAUAUUGCACAGUGGGCGGGAGCGUGAUGCAGCAACGCCGCGUGCGGGAUGACGGCCUUCGGGUUGUAAACCGCUUUCGCCUGUGACGAAGCGUGAGUGACGGUAAUGGGUAAAGAAGCACCGGCUAACUACGUG
rnacentral:rRNA from 1 species